GACGAACGCUGGCGGCGUGCCUAAUACAUGCAAGUCGAACGCUGAAGGAGGAGCUUGCUUCUCUGGAUGAGUUGCGAACGGGUGAGUAACGCGUAGGUAACCUGCCUGGUAGCGGGGGAUAACUAUUGGAAACGAUAGCUAAUACCGCAUAAUAGUAGAUGUUGCAUGACAUUUGCUUAAAAGGUGCAAUUGCAUCACUACCAGAUGGACCUGCGUUGUAUUAGCUAGUUGGUGGGGUAACGGCUCACCAAGGCGACGAUACAUAGCCGACCUGAGAGGGUGAUCGGCCACACUGGGACUGAGACACGGCCCAGACUCCUACGGGAGGCAGCAGUAGGGAAUCUUCGGCAAUGGACGGAAGUCUGACCGAGCAACGCCGCGUGAGUGAAGAAGGUUGUCGGAUCGUAAAGCUCUGUUGUAAGAGAAGAACGAGUGUGAGAGUGGAAAGUUCACACUGUGACGGUAUCUUACCAGAAAGAGACGGCUAACUACGUG
rnacentral:rRNA from 1 species